GGAAGUGUUGCUUAGUGGUUUGAGGGCUGGACUAGGGCUCUGGAGAACAGGGUUCGAAUGCCUUCUCGGCCA